rnacentral:rRNA from 1 species
GCUUACGGCCACACCACCCUGAACACGCCCGAUCUCGUCCGAUCUCAGAAGCUAAGCAGGGUCGGGCCUGGUUAGUACUUGGAUGGGAGACCACCUGGGAAUGCCAGGUGCUGUAAGCU